rnacentral:rRNA from 1 species
AGCAGCCGCGGUAAUUCCAGCUCCAAUAGCGUAUAUUAAAGUUGUUGCAGUUAAAAAGCUCGUAGUUGAAUUUCGGGAUCAAUUAAUCGGUCGUGCCUCUGGUACGCACUGGUUUUAUUGGUUUCUCCCUUCUGACGAACCAGGAUGUCAUUAAUUUGGUGUCUUGGAGAAUCAGGACUGUUACUUUGAAAAAAUUAGAGUGUUUAAAGCAGGCUAACGCUUGAAUACAUUAGCAUGGAAUAAUGAAAUAGGGCGUUUGAUCCUAUUUUGUUGGUUUCUAGGAUCGACGUAAUGAUUAAUAGGGAUAGUUGGGGGCAUUAGUAUUCAAUUGUCAGAGGUGAAAUUCUUGGAUUUAUUGAAGACUAACUACUGCGAAAGCAUUUGCCAAGGAUGUUUUCAUUAAUCAAGAACGAAAGUUAGGGGAUCGAAGACGAUCAGAUACCGUCGUAGUCUUAACCAUAAACUAUGCCGACUAGGGAUCGGAUGAUGUUAAUUUUUUAAUGACUCAUUCGGCGCCUUA